rnacentral:rRNA from 1 species
CCUACGGGUGGCAACAGUGAGGAAUAUUGGUCAAUGGACGAGAGUCUGAACCAGCCAAGUAGCGUGAAGGAUGACUGCCCUAUGGGUUGUAAACUUCUUUUAUAUGGGAAUAAAACGUUCCACGUGUGGGAUUUUGUAUGUACCAUAUGAAUAAGGAUCGGCUAACUCCGUGCCAGCAGCCGCGGUAAUACGGAGGAUACGAGCGUUAUCCGGAUUGGUUGGGUUUAAAGGGAGCGUAGGUGGAUUGUUAAGUCGGUUGUGAAAGUUUGCGGCUCAACCGUAAAAUUGCAGUUGAAACUGGCAGUCUUGAGUACAGUAGAGGUGGGCGGAAUUCGAGGUGUAGCGGUGAAAUGCGUAGAUAUCACGAAGAACUCCGAUUGCGAAGGCAGUUCACUGGACUGCAACUGACACUGAGGCUCGAAAGUGUGGGUAGCAAACAGGAUUAGAUACCCGAGUAGUC